rnacentral:rRNA from 1 species
CACGUAGGGGCCAAGCGUUGUCCGGAUUUAUUGGGCGUAAAGAGCUCGUAGGCGGUUGGGUAAGUCGGGUGUGAAAACUCCCGGGCUCAACUCGGAGACGCCACCCGAUACUGCUCUGACUUGAGUCCGGUAGGGGAGUGGGGAAUUCCUGGUGUAGCGGUGAAAUGCGCAGAUAUCAGGAGGAACACCGGUGGCGAAGGCGCCACUCUGGGCCGGAACUGACGCUGAGGAGCGAAAGCGUGGGUAGCAAACAGG